rnacentral:tRNA from 1 species
GCGCCAGUAGCUCAAUUGGAUAGAGCGUUGGCCUCCGGAGCCAAAGGUUUAGGGUUCGAAUCCCUUCUGGCGUA